GACGAACGCUGGCGGCGUGCCUAAUACAUGCAAGUGGGACGCAAGGGAACACACUGUGCUUGCACACCGUGUUUUCUUGAGUCGCGAACGGGUGAGUAACGCGUAGGUAACCUGCCUAUUAGCGGGGGAUAACUAUUGGAAACGAUAGCUAAUACCGCAUAAUAUUAAUUAUUGCAUGAUAAUUGAUUGAAAGAUGCAAGCGCAUCACUAGUAGAUGGACCUGCGUUGUAUUAGCUAGUUGGUAAGGUAAGAGCUUACCAAGGCGACGAUACAUAGCCGACCUGAGAGGGUGAUCGGCCACACUGGGACUGAGACACGGCCCAGACUCCUACGGGAGGCAGCAGUAGGGAAUCUUCGGCAAUGGACGAAAGUCUGACCGAGCAACGCCGCGUGAGUGAAGAAGGUUUUCGGAUCGUAAAGCUCUGUUGUAAGUCAAGAACGUGUGUGAGAGUGGAAAGUUCACACAGUGGCGGAGCUACCAGAAAG
rnacentral:rRNA from 1 species